UUCCGGUUGAUCCCGCCGGACCUGACUGCUAUCGGAUUAAUACUAAGCCAUGCGAGUUUUUGUAGUAAUACAAGGCAUACGGCUCAGUAACACGUAGUCAACCUACCCUAUGGACGAGGAUAAUCUCGGGAAACUGAGCAUAAUACUCGAUAGAUCAUAAUGCCUGGAAUGGUUUAUGGUUGAAAUGAUUCGUUCGCCAUAGGAUGGGACUGCGGCCUAUCAGCUUGUUGGUGGGGUAAUGGCCCACCAAGGCGAUUACAGGUACGGGCUCUGAGAGGAGAAGCCCGGAGAUGGGUACUGAGACACGGACCCAGGCCCUAUGGGGCGCAGCAGGCGAGAAAACUUUGCAAUGUGCGAAAGCACGACAAGGUUAGUCCGAGUGAUUUCUGCUAAAGAAAUCUUUUGCCAGUUGUAAAACUACUAGUGAAUAAGGGGUGGGCAAGUUCUGGUGUCAGCCGCCGCGGUAAAACCAGCACCUCAAGUGGUCAGGAGGAUUAUUGGGCCUAGAGCAUCCGUAGCCGGCUUUGUUAGUUUUCGGUUAAAUCCAUGCGCUCAACGUAUGGGCUGCCGAGAAUACUGCAUAGCUAGGGAGUGGGAGAGGUAGACGGUACUCGGUAGGAAGGGGUAAAAUCCUUUGAUCUAUCGAUGACCACCUGUGGCGAAGGCGGUCUACCAGAACACGUUCGACGGUGAGGGAUGAAAGCUGGGGGAGCAAACCGGAUUAGAUACCCGGGUAGUCCCAGCUGUAAACGAUGCAGACUCGAUGAUGCAUUGGCAUAUAGCCAGUGCAGUGUCGCAGGGAAGCCGUUAAGUCUGCCGCCUGGGAAGUACGUACGCAAGUAUGAAACUUAAAGGAAUUGGCGGGGGAGCACCACAAGGGGUGAAGCCUGCGGUUCAAUUGGAGUCAACGCCGGGA
rnacentral:rRNA from 1 species